rnacentral:rRNA from 1 species
UACGUAGGUGGCAAGCGUUGUCCGGAAUUACUGGGCGUAAAGCGCACGUAGGCGGUUCGUUAAGUCGGAUGUGAAAUCCCUGGGCUCAACCUGGGAGCUGCAUUCGAUACUGGCGAACUUGAGUAUGAUAGAGGGGGUGGAUCAGGUGUAGCGGUGAAUGCGUAGAUAUCUGGAGGAACAUCAGUGGCGAAGGCGGCCCC